rnacentral:lncRNA from 1 species
GAAAUGUGUUUUAGUUGCUUUAUUUGCUCUCUUGAUGCAACUGCUUUACUAUCAGUAGUUUAAUACCAUGCUCAGGUAUUCUGCCCCUUGAGCAUGGCCAGGUUGUUUUGUGUGCACCAAAAUAGCCUAAACCAGCUCCUUAGCUUGGAACUCUGUGACCCUUGAUAUCUGUCUGAAGCAUUAUUGUUAUUUUUCCUUUAGUCCCGUGCAAAAUUUUUCCCCUGGAUAUUUGGGAAGGUGUGUGUGUGUGUGUGAAUUUCAGAGUGUUAGAAAUAUUUUUGGGAGUGUCUCCUUCUGACUGCAUUCAGAUAUCUGGUAUUUUGGUGGUCUCCACUGUUUUUCAGGUUGUUGAUAUUUGUGGAAGCUGCCAACAAUGGAAAAGUGGAUCUGGUCACUUGGGAAGGCGCAACACUGCAUAAUUGUUCCUCCUAUAGCUGCUGGGGUUGCUGCUCCAGGAUGCAGUUUCAAAGCUGGUGUUGGAUAAGUGGUCCUGCAGGGAGGUGCUGGGUUUGCUCAGGCAGGUCACACAGCUCACAAAUAUCUAUGCAGAUACACACAUAUGAGCCUUCCAAGACAUGUAGUUCUCUGCUGUCCUUCUGUGGUAUCACCACUGCCAGACAAGUCAACUGCAAUGCAAAGCCAAGGAGCAGGACUCAGGAAAUCCCCCUUAAUUUCAUGUUUGGGAUUUUGAGACCACAACUCUUCUCUGCUUCUUAAAAGCCUUUCCCUGGGAGAAGCUGUAGGACGCGGCGGAAUGUCUUUCUUCUUUGUGUCUGUGCUGGCUAAAGCAGGACAGAGGAGCUUGAAAAGGCUCGCCCUCCUCAAGGAACGUUAUCUGAUUCGUAAGCAUUCCUAGAGGUUAAGGCUGGUGACUAUCAAGAAAGCAAAUACUUCACGCAAGGGUAAGUCCUCUAAUUGUGUUUGUGUUGAAUAACUGCCAGAUCCCCAUGUCAGGAUGUCUGCAGUCACGGCUCUGAUCUCACCAUUCCUUCCUCGGCUGUUGCACAAUUGUGUUGCAUGUUUGUGGUACGGGAGAAAGCUGGAGAGCUGGGCUAUGAAACCAUCUCAGGGAAGGAAGCCAUGUUUUAUUUUAGUUGCUUGGUUUGGAUAAAAGCCUGUAGGCGAUGGAAUAACAUAAAGAAACCCCAUAAUGUGGCCCAUUCAUGGAAAACAAACCUGGUUUUCUCUACAGAUAUGUGAAAUAUGAGGUUUGAUAGCCAGGUUGGAAAAGGAAAUGUCAAUAAAAUUGUGUUUGCCAGUGUAGUGGAAAUCUUC